rnacentral:lncRNA from 1 species
GGCCCCUUAAGAACUUCUAGGAUUGGGAAGGGAUGGAGGCUAUUCGGGGAGGUUCCAGAAUGCCCAGAAGCCCAUCACUUUCCAUUUGCAGUUUCUUGACUCAGAAAGGACAGAGAGCAAGGAUGAGAGGAAGGGAAAGGAUGGUGCAGCCAGUGACUUGUGCAUCUCCUUUCCCCUUAGGGGACAAUGGCCAGAUUCUGCUUCCUGCUGUUCGUCUCUGUGGCCACCAGAGGGUGGAGUGCAGCAGUGGUCCAGGCUCCUGAGAUGUUCCAGGUGGGCAAAACCUGUGCCUCCUCCCUUUCUUUCCUGCCUAGAAGCUGCAAGGAACUCAAAGAAAGUUGCAAUAGAGCAGGUGGACUCACUGAGAAAAUAUACCAAAAUGCACACCUUUGUGGAAGUGUCGUUCAACUUAGCUACCUAGACUUGGCCAACAUUUCUUCUCGUGACAGGCCCAGGGAAUUCCAAUCACAGCCAACGGGGAGGCCUGUGAAUUUUGAAACUGCAGAAUUUGUUCCAAAUUGGAAAGAGAAAACCAGAGAGGCAGCAGAUAUCCACAGGGGUGUCCUUGCAUCUCUGCAGUAAGGGAUACCAUACAACUGAGGAGAAGAAAAGCAGGAACAAUAGCCAACAAUGGUGCAAAUUAAACUGGCAAUAGAACAGGAAGAAAAGACAGCCUUCAGAGUGGCUUGGACCGCAGAGUGAAUUUUCAGCUGGAAAGUUAAAGAGAUCUCCUGUGGAAUACUUCCCACCCCAGCUACGGAAAGCCAGGGAGACUCCACAGUGGCAGCAGAGCCUAGUGGAAAUUAAGAACAGGUUGUUUAAUAUAUAUAUAUAUAUAUACACAUACAUAUAUAUGUGUGUGUAUACACACACACACACACAUAUGUAUGUAAACCCCAGCACACCCAGACUGAAAGUGAAAAAGAAACAGUGUUCUAUAAAGAGUGUUCCUUACCCACUCUGGGCCCAAAUCAUGACUGUGGUCAUCAUUGGGCACCAUUGGCCCAGAUAUUUGACUGUAACAAUGACGCAUGAGUUCUUUUUGAAGACAAUAGAGGAGUUAGCUGUGAAUCAUGGAGUGCUCAUUUUGGAAUAAGAACUAGUAGAUGAU